rnacentral:tRNA from 1 species
GGUCUUAUAUUCAAAUAUGAUAUUAGAAUGCAAUUCUGAAGGUGUAAUUUAUUAAAUACUAAGACUU